rnacentral:lncRNA from 1 species
GGCAGAAAAUUAGGAAAUGGAGAUACGAACGCAUAUAUACAGAGGAAGGAGCUGAAGAAGAGAAGCUCAAAGGCGAAACUCCGUUGACGAGAUUUUCAAGUUUUUAAAUUCAGGUUAGAUGCGCUGAGUAUUCUUCGUUAUCUUGCUUAAUUUUUGGUUGUCUAUUGGUUUGAAUAGUCUAUGAUUUUUCAGCUUUUUUAAUGUGUUCAAUGUAAAUGUUUUUCUCAUUGAUCUUCCAAUCAUGAAUUGGUCCGUAUGUGUAUGUACGCCCCGCGCGCGCGCGCAUUAUAUGCGAAUUUUCGUUAUUUCUGAUAUUUUUAUUUUGGGGAUUUUUGGAUGCUUUAGGACCUGCCUACUCUUAUUUUCAUGAAUCUGAUUUGUAAAGCCAGAUUUUGAUAUGAUGUUGAUUGGUUAGUUAGAAAUUGAAUGCUGUAAGCUUUUGAGUUUUUAUUGGAGUUGAAUUUUAAAAGCAUUUCAAUUUAUAGAAUCAUGCUGUAAAUUUUUUUGGGUUAAUUUGAUGCUGUAAGCUUUCGAGUUUGUAUUCGAGUUUAAUUUCAAAAGCAUUUCAAUUUAUAGAAUCCUGCUGUGAAUUUGUAGGGUUAAUUUGGUUAGGUUUCUGCCCUCUGAUUGAAGCUUUGAAAUGAAGGUGAAGGUCUGUAACUGGUGGGUUGAAAUGCUACAAAAUUCUAUCUUUUUUUUAUAGAAUGAUUGCAUUGCAAGUCUAUACAAUUGUGUCCACUUGGAGGAGAUCAUUAGUGAGAGAAAUCGAAUGCUUGCACGAGUAAGGGAUUCGGAGUUUGUACUUGCUUAUUUGCGUAUGCAGAAAACAGUAAUGUACUUGAUUGGAUCAAGUGGAGUUGGGAAAUAAACUAAUUUUGGAAGAAGAUAGGUUUGGUUCUUUGUAUGGAUGAGUGGAAGCUAUGUUUUAAUGUUGGAGGUAGAUUAGAAACUUCAUUUGGGUGAGUAGAUGCUUGGUUUUUUCGUAUAAAUGUUAUCUGUAGUUGGGAUUAGGACAGUAUGGCAUCAGAGGGUAGAAGUGGCAUGUAGCUCGUUGUGACCCCUUGAAGAGUGUAGAUGAAUCCUAUUUACAUAUGUUGAAGUGUUGAACGGUUGAACCCGAAUAUGAGAGGCAAGUACCGGUCAAAGCAAGCUUUGCAUCAUCAGAUUAAAUAGUAAAGAUCAAGCCCUUAAGAAUAACUUAUCCUCUUUGAAAAUUGAUCCUUAUAUAUUCUUUGUCGGAACAAAGGCUCCUGCUAAGUUACCUGAGGUGUUAUAUGCUAAACCUGAUUCUUAUUGCUCGUAUGAAAUCUUUUAAUGUUGAAGUAAAUGAAUCUGUAUGUAGCUGGCUUCCAUCUUACAUCCUGAUUAUCCAACAUAUUACGAGCUAAUUAAGUUCUGUUGUGUGGUAAACAGAGCCUGAUCCGGUGUUAUAUGCUAAACCUGCAUUGUUAAACAUUUUGUAUAUUUUGAUUGACAUUUCGGCUUAAAGCUAGAAUUUACAUCUUUGUGAAAUUCAUUGUGCUGGCCUCUGAAGUGUAUAGACCUGUGCUUUUAUGCUUCCUUAAUUUAUAUUCAUGCACAUUUGUAGAAAAUAGCUCUAGAUUUAUGGGGAUUUUAAUUUAGGUGAUAGCUUAGAUAGAUAAAAUUAUACAGGCUUAUCCACCACAUACUUUAACUGAUUUGAAUAAAUUUGAGCUUGUUUGUUCGCCUAAUUUUUUCAAAAAUACUAUCAUAUAUAUUGUCAGUCUAAUCUAUUAUCUAAAUUAAACGCCCCCUUGAUGGAUAUAAUAAAAUUAAUUGCUACCAUGAAAAUUUGGAUAUAUUGCCCCUGAGAUACUGCCAUUAUGAUUUUUUCUGUCCACGCUCAACAUUCUUCUUGCCCACAAUUUUUCUCUAUUGUGUUCGUAAAUUCAUUCAGCUAAUUGAUUUUAUGGUCUUCAUCACAGAUAUCAUGUCGGUGAAACCAACAGUUGCAUUGCGAGCUAUACUUGUAGGAGGAAUAGCAGCGUUUGCUAAAAUUGGAGGAGCGAUGAAAGCUGCUGGUGGAGUGAAGCUAGGCGCCGCGGCUGCUGCCGUGAGUGCCGCAGCGACCGCUGCAGUUUCCGGGUCGAAGCAGGAGGCAAAGGAUGCUCCAGCACAACCUUCAAAAUGACAUCAUUUUAGGUUAAAUUUUGGUUAUGCUGAAACUUAAGCAUUUUUUUCCCAAUAAAUGUAGCAUAUAGUUGAAUAACAUUGUAGCAUAAUGGUCCCUGACAGCCAUUAGUGUUAGGUUGUUGUAAUCUGCAGAUGAGGGAUAAACAAACACGUGAAGAAAUUUUGUAUUUUACUAGAAACUUCACUUGUCUCUCUGCCCCAAGACGGCAGUUAGGGAUGUAAAUGAAUCAAGUACACACUCAAAACACAUUUGUUUGUCGGAGUGUGUUGGGGAUUUCUCGUUUUAAUUUGUUUUAAAGUUUGUGUUAAAAUAAAAGCUUUUGUGUGUGAUCUUGUUUGAUAAUCAGCUGAAAUUGAAUUUGAAGAAG